ACUGCCGUGAAAUUAUAAGCUUCUGAUUUAAUAUAUUCAAUUUGAAAUUUUCUCUGUGCAAUCCUUGACCAGCGAGUCUUACAGCCUGAUAUUAUACGUGAAAUGUUGAACCGCACAUAACGUCUACCGUCACCGUAUGCUCGAAUGCUUCGGCAGUCUGAUUAUUCAUUUAUUCACUCCUCCGGGCGUCACAGAUUACCUAAUCCCUAUGUUUUCCUCAACCGGGUUCGUUAGCGAAGCUGCAUACAAGUGAUUGAUAACAGAAGGAGCUGACGAUCCUUUACGAGUGCAGCCUAAGAAGUUUCGAAAAGUGCUUUCAAAGCAUGCGGUGUUACCGGUUUAAAAAGAAAACAAAAAAAAAUUAAAAUAAAUAAAUAACGCCAACAAUAAGUCCGCGACGAUGGAUGGAUCGGUUGAAAGAUCCAUCCUGAACAAGGAAUACAUAGAAUUUCAUUCGUUUCACCCCGAGACAGCGAUGAAAAAAGCUUCUUCAACAAUCUGUCGAAAGACACAGACGGACGGAUCAUUCCACUUGACGUAUAACCCGAGUUAUUUCAGUCUCCCGUUAACUGCCGCUGCAGCUUCAUAAAUUUCCUCCAAGGGAUCAAAGGUUACAAGAAGAUGCGGCGUCUAGAGGGCAACGACGAUAAGGGACAACGAGAUACGACGGGUUUCAAUUCCGCGUCAAGAAAGCCGAGGUGCUUUUUUUUCUUCCUUCCGCACGGUGUAUAAUUUUCUUUAAUACACUUUUUUUCCCCCGAGUAUAAGAUGCGACGCGUUCGACUUAUAUCUUCGAUCAUAAAAAUACAAAGAUGGUGAGAAAAUCGACCGCAAAAGGAGAUCUCGUGAAUUUUUCUAUUUUUUUUUUCUUCCUUCUUUUCACGUUAUAAUAGGGGGCUCUUUGUACGUAAUGGCAAAACGUUCGAUAGGCACCUAGAUUUAUGUACAUGUAUAAAGAAAAAGUGAUACAGCGAUGAAUACGUCGUCGUCCAUUAAAGCCGGUGAUUAAAACAAGGCUUCCUCUUCUCACGUGGCGCCAAACGGAUUAUGACGAACGUUGAGAAAAAUUCAAACACAAGAAAAAACUGCAGACUGCACGAUGCGCUGCAUAUACACGCCUUUCAUCGCCCAACGUCGGACUUUUUUGUUACGUUGUAAAAAUUUUUUCAUCUACCCUCUCUCUCAUUCUUUCUUACAGCUACUCUCAUCUUAUUCAUAUUACGAUAAUUCUCCGAAUUUUUCCAGCUUCUAGAAAUCAAAGUAAUUUUUUAGGAUAAUCGCUCUGUUAAGAAAACAAGACGCGUGAAUUAGUCGAAAGUUUAAAUUUGCGUGAAUAUUUUGACCGUGGUGUCCGGUAAAAAAAAAAAAAAAAAAAAAAAAAAAAAAAAAAAAAAAAAAAAAAAAAAAAAAAAAAAAAAAAAAAAAAAAAAAAAACCGUAACAAAUUCAUUUCCAGGACAUUUUUAGGUUAUUCAAGGACAUUCAGGAAAAAUAAAAAAACACGAAUGCAAAGGGCAGAGGGCACUGUACGCAACCGGUGCGACGUACGAGAUAUACAAUAUACGUUAUUUCGAAAAACGAAAAACGCGAUUCGAGGACAUUUUCAGAACCUCAAGGACUUCCAGGACCACUGGACACCACGUUGACGCGACGAGACGAUAUUUUGUAGAGAAGAGUGAGUGGGCAUCGGAAGCCUGCGAUGCGAUGUGCGAACUACAAGAUUUCCAGUCACGAGAAGAAGACCGCUUGACGUAAAUGGAAGUCCGUCAGUCUGCAUUUGAAUGAAGUUGUACAACGUUGAACGAUCGCUAAUAAAUUCCCCAGGGACGAUAUGUAUACCAACCAA